UACGAGUGCCCCGAGCGUUAUCCGGAAUUAUUGGGCGUAAAGGGUGUGUAGGCGGUUUUGUUAGUCUUGUGUUAAAGCUCUUGGCUCAACCAAGAAAGUGCAUAGGAAACGGCAAAACUAGAGGAUGCGAGAGGUGAACAGAACUCAUAGUGUAGGGGUGAAAUCCGUUGAUAUUAUGGGGAAUACCAAAUGCGAAGGCAGUUCACUGGUGCAUUCCUGACGCUGAAACACGAAAGCGUGGGUAGCGAAUGGG
rnacentral:rRNA from 1 species